GGAUGGGUGAAGGGGGCACUGGGGCUGGGAUGGGUUAAGGGGGCACUGGGGCUGGGAUGGGUGACGGGGGCACUGGGGCUGGGAUUGGUGAAAGGGGGCUCAGGGGCUGGGAUGGGUGAAAGGAGGCACAGGGCCUGGGAUAGGUGAAGGGGGCACAGGUGCUGGGCUGGGUGAAUGGGGUACAGGUGCUGGGAUAGGUGAAGAGGCACAAGUACUGGGCUGGAUGAAGGGGGUACAGGUGCUGGGCACAGGUGAAGGGGUACAGGUGCUGUGAAGGGGCACAAGGCCUGGGAUGGGUGAAGAGGGUACAGGUGCUAGGAUGGGUGAAGGGG